rnacentral:lncRNA from 1 species
CAGACGACCAUAGGCACGGUAGCGCUCAUGGUGGCAGAGGGCUACAACACACUGUCCUACAACAUACUGUCAAUAUAAACAAAGCAGUUCAAAAGUGUCAAUUCAGGUUUAUUGCAGGUUUAGUGCCGUUUCUCACAGUCACAGUAUGUCAGGAACCUAAACGUUCAGGUAACUUCUUGACCGUAAUUUUGGCAGAGGCAGAGGCCGAGUUACCCAGUCUGAUGAAGUUGUAGCAGUUUCUAAUCAAGAAACUGCUAGUGAAAUAACUCCCAGUCUAAUGAAAGAAGUGGUGUACAGGAUAUCAUUCAUUCAGUCGAACUGGAAAAGACAUCAUUGAAGCAAGCAUUUCACAAUUUAACAAGUAGAAAAAGGAAGCAAUCAAGAAAGCGAGUGGAAAACUCGCAUGAAAGACAAAGAAGAUGCUUGGGAUUCCAAGAGAGAUGCUGUCUUUCAAAACUACAUUAGCUCCCGUUCCUACAGUGCAAGUAAAUGUGGUGUAUGUGAAAAAGUCACUAAUCCUGUACAUCACUGUUGAAGUGUCCCUUCCUGUCCAGAAUGCAAAAGCCCUCAUUCGUGUACUACGAAACCUGGUUCAAGAGACGUAACCGUAGUUACAGCCAAUGGUAAAUGAGGGCAACUUCACGGAGGACAACCGAUUACCAGGAUUACAUCGACGAAGACACAGCCAAUUAUCAAGACUACGCUGAUGAAGAAAA